UGAGUUGCCUCAAUUUGAAAGUCCUCAUGUCCUGUAACAUGCACAGUUGUUUCAAUUAUGCCAUGCUUAUCAACCAUAUGUUACAGCACGUGAAAACUGGGCAGUACAAUUUGUCUUGCGAAGUGGAAAUGACAAGAUUUCUUUGCGGUGUGCCACAUAUACCUGUGGCAGGGUGUUGGCAGCUGUUGGAUCCAUCUGGGAAAUGAUGUGUGGCUACCGCUUGAGAUAUGACCACAUUCUCGCCAUUGGGGAUCAGAAAAAGGCUGUCAGAGAUGCAGCUAUGUCCAUUUUCUCGACUGGCGACCUGCUGGACAAGAGCACCACCUGCAGUGCAGGAAGGAAUGCACCGACAGCAGGAAGCUAGUGGCAUUGUACAACCUAUAUGCCAAGUACUGCGAUGCACACUCGAUAACAAAUGAGCAGCAGAUAUUUGCACGCAACGUUUUGUGCGCAAAAUAAGAGAUAUCACGAAGACAAGAAAAAUACAGAUGAUGAGAGAAGCACUGAACUCACAGUGAUGAAGGGGAGAACUGAUGUGGAAGUUCCACUGUCAUGCGGACCGUGCACAUGCGACUAUCCUACGACGUGCACCGCAAACCAGACUACAAGAGAGACUCGUUAAGUUCAGCAAGUUGUAAUCUCUGUCUCUGUCUCUACUGUCACUUGUAAGUUGUAAUAAAGUUUGAUAAAAC